rnacentral:rRNA from 1 species
GACGAACGCUGGCGGCGUGCUUAACACAUGCAAGUCGAACGAAGUGGCGAACGGGUGAGUAACGCGUAAUCAACCUGCCCUUCAGAGGGGGACAACAGUUGGAAACGACUGCUAAUACCGCAAACUGAAGGAGGGGAUUGCGUCUGAUUAGCUAGUUGGAGGGGUAACGGCCCACCAAGGCGAUGAUCAGUAGCCGGUCUGAGGGUAUGAACGUCCACAGUGGGACUGGGACACGGCCCAGACUCCUACGGGGGGCAGCAGUGGGGAAUCUUCCGCAAUGGACGGAAGUCUGACUGAGCAACGGCGCGUGAGUGGUGACGGCCUUCGGGUUGUAAAGCGUUGUUAAUCGGGACGCGGUACCGGAAUAGAAAGCCACGGCUAACUACGUGCCAGCAGCCGCGGUAAUUC